GCCUGGCUGGCUCAGCCAGAAGAACAUGAGACUCUUGAUCUCAGAGUUGUGAGUUCAAGCCUCACGUUGUGUG
rnacentral:tRNA from 1 species